CUAUGCUGACACACAGAAAGUUAUCUUUACACCGUUCUGCUUUUACAAUACCACAUUGUGAUUUUUGUGCACCAGUUUUUGCAAAUGUAUUCUUUCUGUAUAAUUAUCACUGAAACUUUGCUUAACCUCGCUCUCCCACCCCUAUUGAAGGAGCACAAUAAAAAAACUGAGGUUUUCAAGGGAAUGUCAGACAUCCAUGGAGCAGCAUUAUGUGGUGUCUCCCCUGGGCCCAGCUUUAAGGAAAACAUUUUCCUUGUCUCUCUUUCUUUUUCACUGACCACUCUAUCAUUUUGAGAGAUCUUAAACCCACAUUGAUGUAUUGGGAGCUGGUCUCUCCAAUAAUUAGGGUCACAGCAAGGCAAGCCCAUAGAGCCCCUCCCGUUCUCCCUUGCUAAGCUGAGCUUCUAACAAAUCCAGCCUCCAGCCUUGUAAACAGGAACCUAGGUUCCAGGAUGUGGUUGCACCGGGCUCUUGAACUCAGGAUGUUGACCCAGUUAAGCAGAAUGUCAGCCCCUGAGAACCAAGAUGCAGUUUUUCUUAGAAUAGCACCCAGCUACUUGCAAACUCUCUAUAUAACCCCCACAGUCUUUAAGCCAGGCUGCUGCCUUCACUGCCUGCAACUAACAAAAUUUUGGUGCUGAAACCCAGGAUGGGAGUAGGUGCUGGCCACUCUCCUUUCUUCCAUGUCUAGCCCCCCCAGUCUGAACCUCUUUCUAGACCCAAGAAUCUCAGACUCCCCCAUUGCUGGCAACCUCAUCCACCAUCAGAGCCUCAGCUAGGCCCUGCCCAGCCCAACCUACCAGAAACGAGGACGCUUUCGCUUCCCAAUACUCCGGACUGGGCAAACCCGAAGAAUAGAAGCAGGCAAGGACCGCCGUGGGCAGCGGGCCCAGUGAGACAGGGUCCUGCUCGCGGCGUCAAGGAGGAGCGCUGUGGCUGGGUAAGCUUGGCGCACUCCCUCGGCCUCGCCUUCCCGAUCACUCUUUUCUAUAAGCACGCCGGCAGGUGUCCCCAGCGCAGCCAAUCCGCCUCCGCAGUGGGUGAGUUGCUGUCUAGAGAGAGAAGACAAACUCCAGUAUCUUUAAGUCCAUUGGCCAGACGAGCCAUUCGGCAGGUGGGUUCUAUUCUCCGACCGAAGUGCUGGAUCCCACGGAACUGGAGGGGAAAGUGCCUAAAAAUCACGAGUGCAGGCUUCUGAGACUUGGUGGGAACGGACCUUCCUCUUAGGUCAAAAAUGUUGUAAGAUCAGGAUUCCUAAGGACCAGAUCAUAGACUCCAGCUCAGUCCAAGACCCGGAAGGCAAAGAACCUCUACGAGGGUAAUAUCCUCAUAAGGAGCCUCCGUUUAGACUCUUAAGGGGAUGUCCGCUUUACAAAACCUCCAGAGGCUGCUAGCCUUCCUUCUUCCAGAAAAGGAAAUAACCACGCGCCUGUCCUAGCUGUAGCCUGAGGUUCAAGCACCCGGGCCACAGGGACUAGUUGGGGCACACAGUCUGCUGUGGACUCCGUCUUCUUCCUACCGCAGGACGCAGAAACUCGCCCCUCUCUCCUCCAAGCCUCACCAUCCUAAUGACUCUCCAAGACCUUCUUGACUCUGCAAGAACCCAAAUGACUUUCCAAGAUCCUCUGCUUUUAUUAAUUUAGCUGCCAAGUAUUUCUGGCCCUGUAAAGGAAACAGCAGGUCAGGUCCUUAAAUAUAUUUAUUUACCGUGUGUGUGUGUGUGUGAAACAAAUCUUUUUCUUGUAAACCAAUAUAUUAUAUAGUAGGGAGUUUAAUUCCUUACUUUCAUUUUUCUCCCUAAACUUUUUAUAGUCAACAAGAGCAAAAGCACACUGCAAUGCCCAAACAAAUUGCAGGCAUUUUCUGCUCCCUGAAGCCUGGGAAUUAAUUCAUAUACUCAGCCCCUUUUCCUUUGGCAGGCCAUUGAAGAAGUAGUUGAACCACAUGAUUGGAUUGACCAGAAUAAAAACAAAACAACAACAACAACAACAACAACAACAACUACAGAAACCACUGAGAUCUGUUCAAAAAGGCUGACUCCUCAUAUCAUCACACCAGCAAGGAAUGGACCAGCCUCUGAUUUUCCCUUCUUGGCUGACUUUACAAGGUUGGAGGCAGCUCAUGAGAAUCAUGCAACAAAGACAGAAAGAAAGUGCUGGAGAAGCCGCACCUGCAGGGCCUUACCUUUAGCUGGUUUGUAUGGUCCCACUCCAUGUAGCUGUUGGAAAACCAGUAUCUCUAAUGUGCUUUAUGGGAUAGCUGUUACCUUCCACUAAUUUAUGUCUAUGACCUAUAAACCUAAAGUAUCCUUUUAUAAAUUUUAUUCAGUCUUUAUGGAGGAAAUUUUUAGUGCAUGCCAGGUAUAGUGUCAAGCACUGGGAUUCCUAAGAUGAAUGUAACAUUGUCCUCAUCAUCCAUUAAGUCACAAUCUAGUAGAGGAAUAGAAGUUAAAAAAAAAAAGAAUUAUAACCAUAAUACAGAAGUGAACAGGCUUCAGUGGUAGCACAGAGAGGGUUUCAGGGCUACUGUCACAGAGGUGAUAACAUUUAAGAUACAGAUUCCAAAUUCAGAUGUGUUUGUUUUGCAAAAUUCUAGGGUCUAUGUGCUCAGGUCCUGAAAAUUCCAGUGACAAAUUUUACCUAAAAUUUAGGUGGCAAAUGAAUCUUACUAUAACCACUUCGAACCAUUGUGUGGCUGGUCCAUCUUAUGGGACCCAUCUUCAGUUCAGAGGGAUGGAGGCAGAGGGAAUACAGCAGGUAAGCUCAAUCAGUGAUAUGACAGGGCUUUCCGAAUUGGGGCCAAGAAGGGCUUGCUUUAUUUUCACGCUAUUUAAAAAUAAGUUUUUGCAACUGAUUUACCCUAUUAAAUACUUCCAUGCAUAACUCAGUGGAGAUUUAUUUGCAAUAGUAGGAUCAGGUAAUUUGAAAACGUUAAUAUGUGUGGUUGUAGCAGGAGGAGGACUGGGUUCCAGCAUUUAAUAAGAGAAUCCAUGGCUUUAUGAAAAUGUCUAAAGAUAUAAUUUUCAUUAAAGUUAUACUUCGCCUUUAGUUGUACAGCUCUUUCUUUCAGUUUCAAUAAAAUCUAAAACAGGAAAUGUCAAUAUACAUGCUCAGGUAAGGAAAGAAUGUGUCUAUGCAGAGAGUAGGAUCCAAUCCUCUACUCUACAGGUAGUAAUGAAGAAAGAAGGCUCAUCACUUCAAUGAGCACUGUGAGCCCUUGAAUGGGCUUAUAGGUACAUACUUACAGUUAAAAUAUGUAUCUUGCAUUUUAGUAUUGGAUAAAAUACUGUCACAUAUUUCUCAUUAAAUCUACAGUUCUACCAUCUUUCCUGAUUAAUUUUGCCAGUAAAAGUUCCUUACCUUUCUAUAAAAGUC